GAUGAACGCUGGCGGCGUGCCUAACACAUGCAAGUCGAGCGAUCUUCUUCGGAAGAGAGCGGCGGACGGGUGAGUAACGCGUGGGUAACCUGCCCUGUACACACGGAUAACAUACCGAAAGGUAUGCUAAUACGAGAUAAUAUGCUUUUAUCGCAUGAUAGAAGUAUCAAAGCUCCAGCGGUACAGGAUGGACCCGCGUCUGAUUAGCUAGUUGGUAAGGUAACGGCUUACCAAGGCGACGAUCAGUAGCCGACCUGAGAGGGUGAUCGGCCACAUUGGAACUGAGACACGGUCCAAACUCCUACGGGAGGCAGCAGUGGGGAAUAUUGCACAAUGGGCGAAAGCCUGAUGCAGCAACGCCGCGUGAGCGAUGAAGGUCUUCGGGUCGUAAAGCUCUGUCCUCAAGGAAGAUAAUGACGGUACUUGAGGAGGAAGCCCCGGCUAACUACGUGCCAGCCGCCGCGGUAA
rnacentral:rRNA from 1 species